ACACCAUUAAAAAUUAUAAUGAAAUGAAUGUAAGUUAUACACCUUACACAGUCCAUAUACAAACCAAAAGAAAUAGAUUGAUCCACUUAAGCAGACCCAUAUUAUCAUCUAUCUAACAUAUACAAACCCAAAGACAUAAAUUAAACUACAUAGGCAGCUUCUACAGUCCAAGCAAGCAUAAAUCAAAAAGCAAUGCUUCCUUUCCAUUUCAAUUAAAAGAGUACAUCAAGCAGCUUUUAAAUGUGUACCUAGAAUGAAACAAAGAGAAGCACCUAUGAGCAGGCAGCCAAGAGAACAAUAACAAUAGCAGCAACAAAUCUUUAGCAAAUGCAGUAAAUAGACAAGGAUCAAUUCCUAGAUUCGAAUAGAAUGAGUUGUAAAAUAAAUUAGGAUAUCGAUCUAGAGCAAAUGACACCAACAAACCAACCCAAAAAGCCUAAAAAAUAACCCCAAUAUACUCAGAAUUGCAUCCACCCAAGCAUAUGGAACCCUAACACCUCAAACACACAUGUUUCA
rnacentral:lncRNA from 1 species